rnacentral:rRNA from 1 species
AUUGAACGCUGGCGGCAGGCCUAACACAUGCAAGUCGAGCGGAGCGGCGGACGGGUGAGUAAUGCCUAGGAAUCUGCCUGGUAGUGGGGGAUAACGUCCGGAAACGGGCGCUAAUACCGCAUACUAUCAGAUGAGCCUAGGUCGGAUUAGCUCGUUGGUGGGGUAAAGGCCUACCAAGGCGACGAUCCGUAACUGGUCUGAGAGGAUGAUCAGUCACACUGGAACUGGGACACGGUCCAGAGUCCUACGGGAGGCAGCAGGGGGGAAUAUUGCACAAUGGGCGCAAGCCUGAUGCAGCCAUGCCGGGUGUAUGAAGAAGGGCUUCGGGUUGUAAAGUACUUUCAGCGGGGCGGCGUGACCCGCAGAAGAAGCACCGGCUAACUCCGUGCCAGCAGCCGCGGUAAUAC